GAAUGCAGCCCAAAGCGGGUGGUAAACUCCAUCUAAGGCUAAAUACGGUCACGAGACCGAUAGCGAACAAGUACCGUGAGGGAAAGUUGAAAAGCAUUUGCGAGAGAGAGUUAAAAAGUACGUGAAACCGUCGAGAGGCAAACGGGAGGGCCUGUCGGGUCGUUCGGUCGCUUUCAGGCGGGCCGGAGACCGGGUCGCGGGAUCGGGGACCUUCGCGGGCCUCGACUCGCGUCGCCGGCCGACGGCUCGGCGCACUAGCGUCGGACGAGGGCCGCGACCGGCUGGGCGGCGGGCAAACGGCUCCGGGCAAGGUAACCCCGCUUCGGCGGGGUGCUACAGGCCCGGUGCGCGCAAGGGUCGCCGCCCGGUCGAGGAGAGAUGCGCGCCGCACCUGCCCCGUUCGCGGGGCCGGGGAAGCCGUUCGAGCAGCGUCGUGUCGCGGUCCGGGACUGUCCUCAGUCCCGGGUCGUCUCGGCGCGGUUCCGAGCGGUCGCUCCCUCGCGAGGUGCCGCGGGUCAGCGGCUGACGCCAGCCACCUUCCCGACCCGUCUUGAAACACGGACCAAGGAGUCUAACAUGUGCGCGAGCCGCGGGGCAGUACGAAACCCGUAAGGCGAAAUGAAGGUGAACGCCGGCGCGGUCCGGCGGAGGUUGGAUCCCGUCCCGUCGGGGCGGGCGCACUACCGGCCGAUCUUCUCCGCCCUGUCGGCGAGGUCGAGCGAGAGCGUGCAAGUCGGGACCCGAAAGAUGGUGAACUAUGCCUGAGGAGGUGAAGCCAGAGGAAACUCUGG
rfam:Ciona savignyi cont_54541, whole genome shotgun sequence.